rnacentral:rRNA from 1 species
UACGGGGGGGGCAAGCGUUGUUCGGAAUUACUGGGCGUAAAGGGUGCGUAGGUGGCGCCGUAAGUCAGGUGUGAAAUUUCGGAGCUUAACUCCGAAACUGCAUUUGAUACUGCGGUGCUUGAGGACUGGAGAGGAGACUGGAAUUCAUGGUGUAGCAGUGAAAUGCGUAGAGAUCAUGAGGAAGACCAGUGGCGAAGGCGGGUCUCUGGACAGUUCCUGACACUGAGGCACGAAGGCCAGGGGAGCAAACGGG